rnacentral:lncRNA from 1 species
AAACUGCCUCGCUAAAUUGAUGGAGUUUUUUUAGGACAAUUAAUGGAGUUUCUUAUAGACGGUCAUUGAUAAAUGUCUAAUUUGCCCUUUGAUAUAGACGGUUAGAUCUAAUUGGUACUCUCAUAUUUGUUUUUUUGAUUUUUGCUCUCUGUGUAUUGCUUUGAAAAUGCCAUCACCAGGAGACUGGGAAAAAAAAUUACUCUACUCCCAUCAACUCUUUUUAAAGGUUCCACGUCCAGAGAUAUACUCUUUCGUUAAAAUAGCUCAUGUAAUUUUUUCACUUAUAUUAUCUAAUAGCAUAGCCCAUUUUUUUCGCUUCCGCACCCGGCCAAUGCUCACACCUAUCAUGAAUGACCCGACACUUUCAAUGAGAGCUGUUGUUUUGGUGUGCAUAAAUUUAUAUGAGCUAUUUUAAGAAACGGAGGAAGUAACUAGCUAGCAUCGGUCGAGUGAUAUUUUACCUGAUCAGCCGCCUUUGUUGGUGUGAAGUCUAUACUUUGAAAAAAAAAAAAACAAAUCUUAACUAUUUGAAAGUCACAAUACCACAUUUCUGCAUGCAUCAAUUUUUGUCAGGUUUUGUCCACCAUCACCUCAAUAAACCAUUUAAAAUAGUCCAACAUUACAGACAUGUGCACAAAGAAAUUUUGUUCGGCGCAUGCAACAAAUCUUCAUCUGAUCAUCUCCUUGCAACAAAAACGUUGAAAAGACAUCGCAGCAUAUCGAAGCUUAUUUAAUACCAGCAUAGUAUUUACUUGUCAAUGCCAAAUUUCCAAAUACUUCCCAUUUAUUUAUUUUUUGACCAGCAAAAAUAUUUCCCAAUUUCCAAAUAUUUUCCAAUGGUCUGCGUAAAGGUUACGUUAACAACCCGUCGCUACGUAUCAGCAGUACAUACAAUGUGACAAAUUAUGCA